GGGAAAAAGCCCCCACAAAUCUGGUACUUUUUUCUCCCGAGCGGUGAAAAGCAAUAAGCUGUACUCUAGAAAAGAAAGGAAACAGGAAUUACGAGCCUUUUCCCUACAUGGUACACUGUCUUCGGUUUAGAGCAAAGCAGAAGCUGGCCAGUUUUUGAGUUCUGUAGCAUAUCUCAGUAAGGGUUGGAUUUAGGAGCAUCAAGAAGCAGAGGUCUUAAUUCAGGGGCACUUCCAGACUAUUCUCAAAGAGUGGCCAACAUGAAAUGAGAGAGAUCACAAGUAGGCAGAGAGGUAGGCAGAGAGAGAG